AAUAGAAUAAGCUAAUUUAAAGCUGUUGGGUUCAUACCCCGAAAAUGAAAUUUUGUUCUUCUAUUA
rnacentral:tRNA from 1 species